rnacentral:rRNA from 1 species
AGAGUUUGAUCCUGGCUCAGAACGAACGCUGGCGGCAUGCCUAACACAUGCAAGUCGAACGAGACCUUCGGGUCUAGUGGCGCACGGGUGCGUAACACGCGGGAAUCUGCCCACAGGUUCGGAAUAACUCAGGGAAACUUGAGCUAAUGCCGGACGAUGCCGAAAGGCCAAAGAUUUAUCGCCGUUGGAUGAGCCCGCGUCGGAUUAGCUAGUUGGUGGGGUAAAGGCCUACCAAGGCGACGAUCCGUAGCUGGUCUGUGAGGAUGACCAGCCACACUGGGACUGAGACACGGCCCAGACUCCUACGGGAGGCAGCAGUGGGGAAUAUUGGACAAUGGGCGAAAGCCUGAUCCAGCAAUGCCGCGUGAGUGAAGAAGGCCUUAGGGUUGUAAAGCUCUUUUACCCGGGAAGAUAAUGACUGUACCGGGAGAAUAAGCCCCGGCUAACUCCGUGCCAGCCGCCGCGGUAAUAC